UAGCAUAUCAAUAAGCGGAGGAAAAGAAACCAACAGGGAUUGCCCUAGUAACGGCGAGUGAAGCGGCAACAGCUCAAAUUUGAAAUCUGGCUCUUUUAGAGUCCGAGUUGUAAUUUGCAGAGGGCGCUUUGGCUUUGGCAGCGGUCCAAGUUCCUUGGAACAGGACGUCACAGAGGGUGAGAAUCCCGUACGUGGUCGCUAGCUAUUGCCGUGUAAAGCCCCUUCGACGAGUCGAGUUGUUUGGGAAUGCAGCUCUAAAUGGGAGGUAAAUUUCUUCUAAAGCUAAAUACUGGCCAGAGACCGAUAGCGCACAAGUAGAGUGAUCGAAAGAUGAAAAGCACUUUGGAAAGAGAGUCAAACAGCACGUGAAAUUGUUGAAAGGGAAGCGCUUGCAGCCAGACUUGCUUGCAGUUGCUCAUCCGGGCUCUUUUGCCCGGUGCAUUCUUCUGCAGGCAGGCCAGCAUCAGUUUGGGCGGUGGGAUAAAGGUCUCUGUCACGUACCUCUCUUCGGGGAGGCCUUAUAGGGGAGACGACAUACCACCAGCCUGGACUGAGGUCCGCGCAUUUAUGCUAGGAUGCUGGCGUAAUGGCUGUAAGCGGCCCGUCUUGAAACACGGACCAAGGAGUCUAACAUCUAUGCGAGUGUUUGGGUGUCAAGCCCGAACGCGUAAUGAAAGUGAACGGAGGUGGGAACCCGCAAGGGUGCACCAUCGACCGAUCCUGAUGUCUUCGGAAGGAUUUGAGUAAGAGCAUGGCUGUUGGGACCCGAAAGAUGGUGAACUAUGCUUGAAUAGGGUGAAGCCAGAGGAAACUCUGGUGGAGGCUCGCAGCGGUUCUGACGUGCAAAUCGAUCGUCAAAUUUGGGCAUAGGGGCGAAAGACUAAUCGAACUAUCUAGUAGCUGGUUCCUGCG
rnacentral:rRNA from 1 species